rnacentral:rRNA from 1 species
GAUGAACGCUAGCGGCAGGCUUAACACAUGCAAGUCGAGGGGUAUAUGCUUUCGGGCAUAGAGACCGGCGCACGGGUGCGUAACGCGUAUGCAAUCUGCCUUUCACAGAGGGAUAGCCCAGAGAAAUUUGGAUUAAUACCUCAUAGCAUAGCACAAUCGCAUGAUUGAGCUAUUAAAGUCACAACGGUGAAAGAUGAGCAUGCGUCCCAUUAGCUAGUUGGUAAGGUAACGGCUUACCAAGGCUACGAUGGGUAGGGGUCCUGAGAGGGAGAUCCCCAACACUGGUACUGAGACACGGACCAGACUCCUACGGGAGGCAGCAGUGAGGAAUAUUGGUCAAUGGGCGCAAGCCUGAACCAGCCAUGCCGCGUGCAGGAUGACGGUCCUAUGGAUUGUAAACUGCUUUUGUACGGGAAGAAACACUCCUACGUGUAGGAGCUUGACGGUACCGUAAGAAUAAGGAUCGGCUAACUCCGUGCCAGCAGCCGCCGUAACAC